rnacentral:rRNA from 1 species
UACGAAGGGGGCUAGCGUUGUUCGGAAUCACUGGGCGUAAAGCGCACGUAGGCGGAUUGUUAAGUCGGAUGUGAAAUCCCCAGGCUUAACCUGGGAACUGCAUCCGAUACUGGAUGGCUUGAAUCCGGGAGAGGAUGCGGAAUUCCAGGUGUAGCGGUGAAAUGCGUAGAUAUCUGGAGGAACACCGGUGGCGAAGGCGGCGAUCCUGGACCGGGCAUUGACGGCUGAGGAGCGAAAGCCAGGG